ACACUGCUACUUACAGUUAGUUUUGCUGGUUUGCAUUUCAGCGUGUGUAUAUAUGGCUGUGCAAAUCCAUGCAAAACUGAUUGUGAUACUGU
ensembl:miRNA MIR19B2 microRNA 19b-2